rnacentral:lncRNA from 1 species
GUUCAGUCGUGUACCACAUGGGUGUUUUAACUUACUUAUUUAUUGGCACACUGUGAGGCAUGUGGGAUCUAAGUUCUGUGACUAGGGAUUGAACCUGAACCCACUGCCGUGGAAGCACGAAUUCUUAACCAUUGGACUGCCAGGGAAGUCCUCCUGUGUGGGUAUUUUUUUAAUCCACCUGCUGCCUCUCCCACGGUACCCUUCCUGGAGGUCAGGGGCGACGUCUGGGGUACACGACUAUUUUCCUACAUUUUCUUACCCCUGUGGGUUCAGUACUCUGGAACCAAAGAGGUUAAGUGAGAGGCAGGAACGUUAUUUAGAAGAGUUUGAAAUCAGCCUCGCUCCCCUCGCCAUGUCACAGACGCCAUGGAAAACCAAGCGGAAAAGGGUGGUAACAGGCUGUCCUACUUGGCAGGUAGAAAGCUUACGUUUCUUUACCCAAAGCCAUCCAGGUCGAUGGGUGACAAAUAUUGGCCAUCACUUCCAAAGAGGAGCUCUUUGUAGCCCUCUGCACACAAAAAGAGGAAUCACCAUCCGUGAGCCCCUUGUGAACACACCCAGUAACUCGCAGACUAAGCAGUUUGUCGGUACUUUAUGUACAUAUGAAGCCUUGAGAAAUAAAAGCAAAACGCAAUUGUGUUUGGACCUCACUGCUCACAUCCUGUCUGAAUUCUAAGAAACUGUGAGAUGAAGACUUCAGGGCAUCAGGAUAAAUUUGCUGCACGUGACUGAAAGCCAACCAGGGAGACUGAAGGUCAGGCUAAUGAGGGAAGCUGUGUGGGGGAGGUGCAGGGGUGUGAUGGAUUGGAGGGACCCUUAA